rnacentral:misc_RNA from 1 species
AGAGUAGUAACGGUGCUCCGGU